AGUGAACGCUGGCGGUAGGCCUAACACAUGCAAGUCGAACGGCAGCACAGUAAGAGCUUGCUCUUACGGGUGGCGAGUGGCGGACGGGUGAGGAAUACAUCGGAAUCUACUUUUUCGUGGGGGAUAACGUAGGGAAACUUACGCUAAUACCGCAUACGACCUACGGGGGAAAGCAGGGGAUCUUCGGACCUUGCGCGAAUGAAUGCGCCGAUGUCGGAUUAGCUAGUUGGCGGGGUAAAGGCCAACCAAGGCGACGAUCCGUAGCUGGUGUGAGAGGAUGAUCAGCCACACUGGAACUGAGACACGGUCCAGACUCCUACGGGAGGCAGCAGUGGGGAAUAUUGGACAAUGGGCGCAAGCCUGAUCCAGCCAUCCCGAGUGUGUGAAGAAGGCCUUCGGGUUGUAAAGCCCUUUUGUUGGGAAAGAAAAGCAGCAGGUUAAUACCCCGCUGUUCUGACGGUACCCAAAGAAUAAGCACCGGCUAACUUCGUG
rnacentral:rRNA from 1 species